rnacentral:rRNA from 1 species
CCAAUCGAACCCGGAGAUAGCUGGUUCUCCUCGAAAUAGCUUUAGGGCUAGCCUCAUGGAUCAUUGGUGGGGGUAGAGCACUGAAUGUGCGCGGGGGCCACAAAGCCUACCAAACGCUAUCAAACUUCGAAUACCAUACAAUGCAGACCAUGGGAGUCAGUCCGCGAGAGAUAAGUUCCGCGGGCAAAAGGGGAACACCCCAGAUCAACCGCUAAGGUCCCCAAGUUCACGUUAAGUGGAGAAGGAUGUGGAAUUGCACAGACAACCAGGAUGUUGGCUCAGAAGCAGCCACACAUUUAAAGAGUGCGUAAUAGCUCACUGGUCGAGUGAUUGUGCGCCGAAGAUGUCCGGGGCUAAACGUGACACCGAAGCGAUGGGUGCAUCUGAAGAAGAUGCGCGGUAGAGGAGCAAUGUGCAGAGGCAGAAGCCGUAUCGAGAGGCACGGUGGACACUGCACAAGAGAGAAUGCCGGUAUGAGUAGCGAGAGGCAUGCGAGAAACAUGCCCGUCGAAAGCCCAAGGUUUCCUGGGGAAGGUUCAUCCGCCCAGGGUAAGUCGGGGCCUAAGCCGAGGACGGAAGUCGUAGGCGAUGGACAGCAGGUGUAGAUUCCUGCACUACCGAUGGAAUGAAGCAGUGACACAGAAGGAUAACUCGAGCAGGGUGAUGGUCAACCCUGUGCAAGCAUCGAGGUUGGGUUGUAGUGAAGUACGCAACCCUAUAAGCUGAGAUGUGAUGCGGACCGAAAUUUCAGUAGGGAAGCGAGUGAGUUCACGCUGGCGAGAAAAGCUGCUAGUAUAUCCAAAGGUACCCGUACCGGAAACCGACGCAGGUGGGCGAGGAGAGAAUCCUGAGACGAACGGGAGAACCCUUGUUAAGGAACUCGGCAAAAUGACCCCGUAACUUCGGGAUAAGGGGUGCCUGCGAGAGCAGGCCGCAGAGAAUAGUCACAAGCGACUGUUUAGCAAAAACACAGGUAUCUGCGAAAGCGAGAGCUGACGUAUAGGUGCUGACACCUGCCCGGUGCUGGAAGGUUAAGGGAACAUGUUAGAGCAAUCGAAGCAUCGAACCGAAGCCCCAGUAAACGGCGGCCGUAACUAUAACGGUCCUAAGGUAGCGAAAUUCCUUGUCGGGUAAGUUCCGACCCGCACGAAUGGUGUAACGACUUGUGAGCUGUCUCAACAGGGGGCCCGGUGAAAUUGAAGUAUGGGUGAAGAUGCCCAUUACCCGCGACUGGACGGAGAGACCCCGUAGAGCUUUACUGCAGCCUGAUAUUGAGUUUCGGUAACUGAUGCACAGGAUAGGUGGGAGUCUGAGAGACAUGGGUUUCGGCUCGUGUGGAGACGAUGUUGGGAUACCACUCUUCGGUUACUGAAAUUCUAACAUAGCUCUGUGAAACCAGAGGAUGGACAGUGUCAGGUGGACAGUUUGACUGGGGCGGUCGCCUCCGAAAGAGUAACGGAGGCGCCCAAAGGUACCCUCAGAAUGGAUGGAAACCAUUCGAAGAGCGCAAAGGCAGAAGGGUGCCUGACUGCGAGAUUGACAAAUCGAGCAGAGACGAAAGUCGGGCUUAGUGAUCCGGCGGUAUUGAGUGGAAAAGCCGUCGCUUAACGGAUAAAAGCUACCUCGGGGAUAACAGGCUGAUCUCCCCCAAGAGUCCACAUCGACGGGGAGGUUUGGCAC